ACAGGGUGUUACAGUACAGAGUCGAUGUUCAUCAUUAAAACCACUCGGCUUACGCGUGUUUUUAAUGAUGCAACGGCCAACAAUGUACUAUGCAUUAUUAACUGAAAUGCCACGCGGUACUAACGGCGCCUGAGCUUUACUCGGAUCAACGCACCAUUUAAAAUAGUUUCCUCUGGCUGCACAUAUUGACACGGCUGGUUGCUGGUACUUACACGACAACGCAGUAAAACCGAUCUGACACGUCAUGGGUCCAGUUAGACAGUAGUAAAAUAGAACUCAUUGAUUUGACAUCAAACGUAUUUCAAUCUGAUUGUAAUAGGCCUGUAGCCUACUGUUUAUAUUUUAAUGCAGUCGUUUUCUUUUUUCAGUUGAAUCGUCUUUUUAUUAUGGGGUUUGUUUGACUCAAUUACGAAGACAUUGGCAACUUUAUUCUGGAGUUAAAUUACAAUGUUACUCGUGAGGGUUUUGGGUAACGGCUCUGAGAUUUAACGAAGGUUCUAACGAUUUUAAAUUGGCGUUAAGAUAAUUUUGGGGAAGCCCUGGUUAAUAUUAGUGCACAGUGUAGGGAAUAGGCAGCCAUCUGUAAACAGUUGGGACUGCAGCCAUGUUAUCACUGCCCUAUGGACAUACUAGGUGGUCGUACAGCUUGUGUAUUGAAACUCUCUUUCCCCCCCCCCCCCGUCUCUGACCACCAGGUUGAUGACAACAAGAAGCUGGGCGAGUGGGUUGGUCUGUGCAAGAUCGACCGGGAGGGAAAACCCCGUAAGGUGGUGGGCUGCAGCUGUGUUGUGAUCAAGGACUAUGGCAAGGAGUCUCAGGCUAAGGACGUGAUUGAGGAAUACUUCAAGGCCAAGAAAUGAGGUGUCAUUUUCAAUAAAAGCUGAAAUGAA